GAUUAAUAAGAGAACAGAAUGCUAAAGUAAAACCUUUGCUUUGCUAACAUAAUGGAUGCUGGUUAGCUGGGGCUGCAGAAUUAUCUGUGGCUAAGAAGACGCCAGCACCACAGAGGUGAUGUCUUCUGGGAAGUGUGUCCUCAGAGCCAGCACGCAGAAGCUGUGUUCCACAGGCUGCCAAGGUUUUACCUCCUGCCGGAAGCUGAACUUGGUAGUGGAAGAGUCACCCCAGUGGUACUGGUUUUGAAGACAUGAAGCAGUUGUGGAGAGCAGCUGGGGCUCGGCACUGUGUGGCAGGCCUGGAAUCUUGGAAGAGAGCCCAGGAGAGGCUCUUGGUGAAGGUGUAGCCCAGUUACAGCAAGAGACUCCAGCGUUUUGGGGGAUGCCAGCACCAUGGAUGACCACCAAGAACAGCAGCAACAGCGGAAUUGAGCCAGCUGGAACCUGGAAGUCAAGCAGUGUGUGCUGCAGAGGGCAGAGCCAGAGAAUGACCCAAGCCCCUUGGAGGAGCCCAGAAGACCAUGCGUGAAUCCCAGACACUGGACGGAUGAAGAGCUUUACCUAAGGGCCGAUUGAAGAAAAUGAAAUAUGUCAAGGAGAGAAAACGUGACUCUUGCAGACAAGGUGUCAGAUGGCGCCUGAGCACAUCUGAGGUGUCUGGGCUUCUAGAUAACCACAAGAUGAGAAGUCGGUGCUCAGAAGGCUGCCCUGACAUUUGAGUCAGCACCGGCAACAUCACCUCCUUUUGUGCUCUCAUUCAAGUCAGCAGGCAGCAAGCUCUGCCUACUCAGUGUCCCCAGGUUCUUCCCCUGUCUGUCUUCUGAAAGUGCUCCAGUAACGGACAGAGGAAUGCCUGGAGGUGAUUACCGCUCGCACUCAAGCUCUGAGGGAGCCAAAAGGAAUGGGCCUGGCUUCCAAUCAAGACUGAGCCAAGCCCAGGAGAGGAGCUAAAUGAAGACAAGACCCUAGUGAUUAACCGGGGUCUGGGCAGCCAGAAACUGAAGCACGUGCCCUCAUUUACCAAGAUGGUGAACAGCUGUGCUUUCUGAAACAUGGACCAUGGAUCAAAAAAUAUCUUCCCCGAAGUCAAAGGUUUUCCUGCCAAAGCUGUUUAUUAUGUAUGCGGAAAGAAGCAGAGUGAGAAGAGAUUUUUGUUGUGAAGUGCUCACCAAGCAGAACUUUGGGCUGCCCAUGAGAGUGGGGCCGUCCACUACAGUGUGAUUGACCUACAAGAGGUCAUAUCCAUAAAGAAAACUGACUCUCCCUCCCCAGGACCAUCAGCUGUCCACAGUGUCUCAGUUAGGAUGGGGGCUGUCUCACACUUAAUCUGCACAUCUAGACCCAGGAGAACUCAAAGCUGGACACAUUUACCUUGGUGAAGGUGGGACUCAGGAGCCGGAGAGGUGGCUCAGCAGAAGCACCCGUGGUUACAUCAUUCUUGCUGUCUAAAGAGAGGAAACGAGAUCAGCUCCUGAGGAAAUGUAAUCUUUUCCCUCCUGUUCAACUCUGAAUGAAAAGUAUCACCACCUAAAGCCAAGAUAGAGCAACAGCAGACCAUGUCUUCUGAAUGGAUGCAGGUGUAUAAGCGAGACUUGGCCAAGCAGGUGGACCUGCCACAGGGGCCGCUGGAAAUAAUCAGUAUUAUCAAACGGAAAGCUUUCGAAGGAGCUUUCUAAGGACAGUGGUGUGCGUGGUGACAUCCGGGGAAGCUGGCAGCAGAGCGACCUACAAGCCAGCCCCAGCCACUGUACUCUGUGAGUCUCAUGUACCUCAGGCUGGCUUUAAAAUCCGUGUGGCUAAGGAUUAUUCUGAGAGAACACCCUCUGCCGCCAUUUCCCAAGUGCUGGGAUUAGAGGCAUGAACUACUACACCCAGUAUAUUGCACGCUGAGCUUUGAAUUCAGGACCUCAUGCACACUAGACAAGAAUUCUGCCCACUGAGCCACAGCUCCAACCCAACUUUGGAUUUCUGAUCCUCCUUCCUCCACCUGCGGAGUGUGAAGAUUACAAGCACCCAUGUAGCACCAGGCCCAGUUCACGAAACGCUGGGGAUUGAACCUAAGGCUUUGUCAUGUUAGGCAAGUGCUGUACCAGCUGAGCUACACCAUCAGCCCCAUAGUACCUGUGUUUUCUGAACCCAUUCUAAUCUUCCUGUAAGUCUGAGUUGUGCAAUAGUGUUUCAGCAAAUUGCUUAAGUCAGGUUGGUUUCUGAUGCUUGCAGCCACGACCUCUGACUCUGACCAUCUACAACUGGUUUGGUCAAUCAUUUUAUUCAUUUCCUACACUCUUUGUGCCUUUGCCUUCCUGGCAAUUCAGAUAAGUAAUCCAGUAAAGAAGGAAUGAGCAUUCGGAAAAUCUGACCACAGCUGGGAUAUAAGCCAGAACAGCCAAGAACUCAAUCAUCAGGUCUCCUUACUUUGUUAGGUUGAGGUAACUGUAUGGUGAAGGGGACAGAAGGCUGUAAGACAUCUAUCAUCAGUUGGGCUCGGUAAUGCCCAGCACUCAUGGAGGCAGAGUCAGGCGGAUCUCUGCGAGUUCAAGGCCAGCCUGGUCUACAAAGCACAUCCAGGAAAGCCAAGACUACACAUAGAAACCCUGUCUUGAAACAAACAGACAAACAGAAACAAACAAACAUCUAUCGCCUCUUUAAAAAUAUCUCAAACAUAUAAGCUCAGCAGUGGCAGCACAUAUCCUUAAUCCCAGCAGUCCAGAGCCAGAGGCAGGUGGAUCUCUGAGUUUGAGAUCAGCGUGGUCUACAGAGUAAGUUCCAGAACAGCCAGGGCUAUACAGAGAAACCCUGUCUUAAAAUAAUAAUAAUAAAAUAACAACAAUAAUAAUAACUCUAAUGCAGUUAUAACAUGAUUGUUCAGAGUGUUUAUAGAUCGUGAAGGCUGGGACCAGGUUUUCCUUGUCUUCCUGAGGUCCCAGGUCAUUUGAGAGAUAUAGUAAAUAAAUAGAAGGGCAGUGAUGGAAGUUGAAGAAAGAGAAUUCAGGGAAGAGAAACUUAAUAUAGCCUAAUGUCUCUUUAUAAAAAGAAUUGUCUCGGCUUUGUGAGAGCUAAAGAUUAAGGCCUGUGAGCGAGCCAGAGCUGCAGAGAUUUGCAGGUGUUGACUGAGGAGUGAGAGCCUGAGCUUUUGCCAUCAGACAGUCAGCAGGAGAGAGGCUUCACUCCCAAGUAGGCAGAGCUGACGUGGGUCCAGCCCAGACAGCGUGCCAGUCCAUUUCUUCUUGGAAGGGGGCCCCAAGAAUGCCUGCAAGCUGAAUCGAGAUGGCUCUCCAAAAAGCAUUUGAAUCUGUUUCAAAGGUGUUGACAGACUGGGACGAGACCAUCUCCAGCUACAAAGACAAGCACAGAGUUUCACUACCUUGACCAUCCGGGUGUCAAUGUGCCACUUGUAGUUCCACUGGCUUAAAAGGAACACUCUUACUUGGAAUUCCCUUCCCUUCCCUCCCUUCCCCUCCCCUCCUCUCCCUUUCCCUUCCCUUCCCUUCCCUUCCUUUUCCUUCCCUUCCCUUUCCUCUUUCUUUCCUUCUUUCUUUUUAUGGACACAGUAUCUAGCUAUACAGCCCAAGCUGGGUCAAACUUCUCAUCCUGCCUUUACCUCAUGGGUGCCAGGAUUAUCCUGAUGUGCUUAAUUGGAUCUGGGUCUUCAAGCAUGCAUUUGUUACAAACUGAAACAGGGCUGAGGCUUUCACGACUGACUUGGCCAACUCAUAUUCCGAAAAUGCUAAGGCUCAGAGGUCUGCUCAGAAGUUUGCUUGUAAAAUAUGAAACUUGUCUCUGCCCUCUAUCACGGCUCCCAUUCCUCCCCUCCAGCAACAUUAGCUUUUAGACAUAUGUACUAAAUGCAUUUUUCUUUAAAGAUAUGGCAGAGAUAUUUCUUUUGGAGUGUGUCCAAACAAUCUGGGAAAUGCACACUUGACAUAGCCACGGGGAAGUGUAUUUUUUUAAAAACUCAAAGGAACAAAAGAAAGAAAAAAAGA